rnacentral:rRNA from 1 species
CACGUAGGCACCAAGCGUUGUCCGGAUUUAUUGGGCGUAAAGGGCUCGUAGGCGGUUUGUCGCGUCGGGAGUGAAAACCUUGGGCUUAACUCAGGGCUUGCUUUCGAUACGGGCAGACUAGAGGUAUGCAGGGGAGAACGGAAUUCCUGGUGUAGCGGUGAAAUGCGCAGAUAUCAGGAGGAACACCGGUGGCGAAGGCGGUUCUCUGGGCAUGAUCUGACGCUGAGGAGCGAAAGUGUGGGGGAGGCGAACAGG